GACGAACGCUGGCGGCGUGCCUAAUACAUGCAAGCAGAACGCUGAAGGAGGAGCUUGCUCUUCUGGAUGAGUUGCGAACGGGUGAGUAACGCGUAGGUAACCUGCCUGGUAGCGGGGGAUAACUAUUGGAAACGAUAGCUAAUACCGCAUAAUAGUAGAUGUUGCAUGAUAUUUACUUAAAAGGUGCAAUUGCACCACUACCAGAUGGACCUGCGUUGUAUUAGCUAGUUGGUGGGGUAACGGCUCACCAAGGCGACGAUACAUAGCCGACCUGAGAGGGUGAUCGGCCACACUGGGACUGAGACACGGCCCAGACUCCUACGGGAGGCAGCAGUAGGGAAUCUUCGGCAAUGGACGAAAGUCUGACCGAGCAACGCCGCGUGAGUGAAGAAGGUUUUCGGAUCGUAAAGCUCUGUUGUAAGAGAAGAACGAGUGUGAGAGUGGAAAGUUCACACUGUGACGGUAUCUUACCAGAAAGGGACGGCUAACUACGUG
rnacentral:rRNA from 1 species